rnacentral:rRNA from 1 species
UACGUAGGGAGCAAGCGUUGUCCGGAAUCAUUGGGCGUAAAGCGCGCGUAGGUGGCCCGGUAAGUCCGCUCUGAAAGUCAAAGGCUCAACCUUUGAAAGCGGGUGGAUACUGCCAGGCUAGAGUCCGGAAGAGGCGAGUGGAAUUCCUGGUGUAGCGGUGGAAUGCGUAGAUAUCAGGAAGAACACCAAUGGCGAAAGCAGCUUUCUGGGACGGUACUGACGCUGAGACGCGAAAGCGUGGGGAGCGAACAGG